rnacentral:rRNA from 1 species
UACGGGGGGAGCAAGCGUUGUUCGGAUUUACUGGGCGUAAAGGGCGCGUAGGCGGCCACCGCAAGUCGACUGUGAAAUCUCCGGGCUUAACCCGGAAAGGUCAGCCGAUACUGCGGGGCUAGAGUGCAGAAGGGGCAACUGGAAUUCUCGGUGUAGCGGUGAAAUGCGUAGAUAUCAGGAGGAACACCGGUGGCGAAGGCGGAUCUCUGGGCCUUACCUGACGCUGAGGCGCGAAAGCUAGGGGAGCGAACAGG